CUGCCCGGUGCUCGAAGGUUAAUUGAUGGGGUUAGCAUUAGCGAAGCUCUUGAUCGAAGCCCGAGUAAACGGCGGCCGUAACUAUAACGGUCCUAAGGUAGCGAAAUUCCUUGUCGGUUAAAUACCGACCUGCAUGAAUGGCGUAACGAGAUGGGAGCUGUCUCAAAGAGGGAUCCAGUGAAAUUGUAGUGGAGGUGAAAAUUCCUCCUACCCGCGGCAAGACGGAAAGACCCCGUGGACCUUUACUACAGCUUGACACUGCUACUUGGAUAAGAAUGUGCAGGAUAGGUGGGAGGCUUUGAGUAUAUGACGCCAGUUGUAUAUGAGCCAUUGUUGAGAUACCACUCUUUCUUAUUUGGGUAGCUAACCAGCUUGAGUUAUCCUCAAGUGGGACAAUGUCUGGUGGGUAGUUUGACUGGGGCGGUCGCCUCCCAAAUAAUAACGGAGGCUUACAAAG
rnacentral:rRNA from 1 species